AGGACAAACGCUGGCGGCGUGCUUAACACAUGCAAGUCGAACGGUUUACCUUCGGGUAGAUAGUGGCGGACGGGUGAGUAACACGUAGUUGACCUGCCCCUCGGUGGGGAAUAACUCCUCGAAAGAGGUGCUAAUACCGCAUACGCUCUCUUCCGUUGGGAAGAGAGGAAACGCUUGCGUAAGCAUGGUGACCGAGGGAGGGGACUGCGGCGGAUUAGCUAGUUGGUGGGGUAAUGGCCUACCAAGGCGACGAUCCGUAGCUGGUCUGAGAGGACGACCAGCCACACUGGGACUGAGACACGGCCCAGACUCCUACGGGAGGCAGCAGUGAGGAAUA
rnacentral:rRNA from 1 species